rnacentral:lncRNA from 1 species
UUUUUUUUUUUUCACAUUAUCCUGCUCCAUCAUAAGUGACUAGAUGUAGUUCCCAAUGGUAAAUCAUUUUUAUAAGCCAGGUGAAGGAGCUGGGUUUCAAGGUAAGUGAUCAGCUCAUGCACAAUUCUCUGAUUGGCCAAUGCUGAGGUAACAGGGCAGAAUCAUAAGGGUUAACUUUUUUUUUUUGCUUUUUAGGGCCACAUCCAUGGCAAAUGGAGAUUCCCAGGCUAGGGGUCAAAUCAGAGCUACGGCUGCCAGCCUACACCACAGCCACAGCAACGCAGGAGACAAGCCACAUCUGCGACCUACACCAUAGCUCAUGGUAUCGCCAGAUCCUUAACCCACUGAGCAGAGCCAGGGAUUGAACCCUUGUCCUCAUGGAUACUAGUCUGGUUCAUUACCACUGAGCCACAAGGGAAACUCCAGCCCUUAGUUGGUGUGGUUCAUGCACCUCUCAGCCAAGAUGGAUUCCAGCACCAAGGAUCCUGGGAGGUUUGUCAUCUCUUCCCUCCAAUUGGCCCCUCCCAAAUCGUACCUGUUAGCCUUCAGGGCAGCACCAUGUUCCUUACUGAGGGCUCCUGUUGUGAGACAACUCAUGCAAGAGGCUAUUAUGGUACCUAGCCAAGGUGGGCAGUUUCAGUCAGUGGUCUCCUAACACACCCAGAGCCCUUCCCUCCAGCCCAUUCUCACAGCCACCAAAAUAAACAUGCUGACACCCAAACCCAAUCGUACAAUCUUCUGUUUUAAAAUCCUCCAAUGGGAGUUCCUGUUGUGGCUCAGCAGGUUAAGUCCCCAACAUUGUCUCUGUGAGGAUGUGGGUUUGAUCCCUGGCCUCUGUUAGGAGGUUAAGUCUCUGGAGUUGCCACAAGGUGCAGUGCAGAAGAUGCAGCUCAGAUCUGGUGCUGUGGUGGCUGUGGCAUAGACCCCUGGCCCAGGAACAUCCAUAUGCUGCAGGUGUGUCCAUAAAAAGAAAAAAUAAUAAAAUAAAAUAAAAUCCUCCGAUGAUGCUCCAUAACCGAAUUGGAUACACCUGACAGGUCAUAUUCACAAAAGCAAGACCCUCUUUACAUAUAGGAUGGGGGAGGGAGGAGUAUAAUUCCCAGCACACUAAUCCUUCUUUCUCUCUGAGUCAAAGACGCUCAUUCAUAUGCAAGUACAAGAGAGUGCCACUAUUAAGUGUUGGGCUUCAAGGCCCCUUCAAGGAGAUUGAACUCAAAGCCUCUGGCCAAGGCAAGAACUACCAGACUCUUAUCAUCGCCCCACCCAUCGCAUUGUAAUGUGUCCCUCCCCCACCCUGAGCAUCCAGGCCUACUCCUUCCUGCCCCUACUAGGAGAGGUAUGUGGCCCACUCCUCACCCCACCCCUAUCUGGGCCUUAUAUGCCCCCAACCAAGCAGCAAGUGCUGGUAAGGCCCCUCUUCCCCGAACAAUCAGCAGGUCAGCAGAUAUAUCUCAAGACCUCCCUUCUCCCUGGGCUGUAAAAACAGACAUGACCAUGAGCUCAUUGUUGGCUCUCCCUGAGUACCAGGAAGUCAUCCCGCUGCACUUGCAGCAUCUCUUAUCUCAGUCAACUCGACUUUCUCUCCACCUUGCCCGUGCUCAAUAAACUAUCCUUCCUUUUCCUGAUAUGAGUCUGGAAAUUCUUCUUCCAACCCACGUGCACAGACCACAACAUUAUGGACCUAUGUCUGCAUUUAUUCUGUUUUUACUAAAUAAGUUGCUAGGAAGGUUCUUUCCAGGAACCAUUACACUAAUAAAAUGUUUCCCAGUGGGAUGCUGUGAACUGAGGCUGUGACUUUAAACCUGGUAGGUGCUCAGUAAAUGUAGGUUGAAUAAAUAAAGGCAUGAACAACCAGAAAAGGGAGAAGAUGAAGUAUAGUGGGCUACCAGAGAUGGAGGGACAUCCUGGAUUUAUGAAGGGCCCAAUGAUGUCAGGGGCUGUGCUUGCAGAACCAAAGGAAUCCAGACUCAGGAUGACAUUUCCUAAACUGCAGUCACUCAAGAACCACCAUCUCUAGUUUGUGUGUGUGUGUGUGUGUGUGUGUGUGUGUGUAGUCUUACCUAUACUAUUAUUUACUUCAUAGAUUUAUAUUAAAGUAACUCUCAUUUCUAAAAAAAAUUAAAUACAUUUAUUGAAAAUGGAAGCUUUGUAACACUCCCAUAAAUGGAAAACCAAUAUCAUUUGUCAUAAGUUGUAGGCAACCAUAAAACAUAAAUACAAUGAAGACUUCCCUCCAAAUCAAAUAUUAACUAGAAUUCUCUGCUGAAAGCUCUAUGCCAUGAGGUCUGCUCUCUCUUUAUUAAAAUAAAAGGGAGGGGUGGAAAAGCGUCAGAGACAUACUGGUAUCAAACUGAGAUAUUCUCCUUUGUGUGAUCAGGUUAAAAGAGAACCAAAAUAGGGCUGAGAGUUUUACUUCAAAACACAUCCCUGGGGAGUUUCCACAGUAACAAAUCCAACUAGUAUACAUGAGGACUCAGGUCGGAUCCCUGGACUUGCUCAGUGGGCUAAGGAUCUGGUGUUGUCAUGAGCUGUGGUAUAGGCUGCAGAAGCACCUCGGAUCUGACAUUGCUGUGGCUGUGGCUGUGGCUGUGGCCAGCAGCUAUAGCUCCAAUUUCACCACUAGCCUGGGAACUACAUAUGCCGCUGGUGCGGCCCUAAAAAGACAAAACAUAUCCUUGGAGUUCCCUGGCAGCUCAGCAGGUUAAAGAUGCAGCAUCAUCACUGCUGUGGCUCAAGUUGCUGCUGUGGCACAGGUUCAGUCCCUGGCCCAGGAACUUCCGAAUGCUGCAGGUACGGCCAAAAAAAAAAAAAAAAAAAAAAAAAACACAUCGCAGCUCUUCCCUUCUCCACCAUCCUAUGUGCGGUUGAAUUAGUUCCUCACCAUGUCUUCUCACAAGACUUUCAGGAUCAGGAGAUUCCUAGGCAAGAAGCAAAAGCAGAAUCGUCCCAUCCCCCAAUGGCUUCAAAUGAAAACUGGUAAUAAAAUCAGGUACAACUCGAAGAGAAGACGUUGGAGAAGAGCCAAGCUGAGUCUAUAAGGAGCUUCCGCACAUGAGGUGGCGCCUGUAUUUAUGCUAUGUAGGGUCACUUCCAUAUCAAACUGAAAACAGCACAGCCACAUUUGGAUAUAUCGGGAAAUGGGUUCUCUUUAUGUUGUUGUCUCUUUAUAGCACUUUGCCUCUACUGAGGCAAAUAUGUGAAGGCCUCUUGUUGAAAAACAAAAACAGGAAAACAUCCCAGACAAGAUUCCUUCUUAACAAAGCACGGAUACCACGUUCGUGGAAGUCACCAUCGCCCCUCUCCUAGCUCUCUAUGGCUCAAAGUGUUACCAAAUCAGCAUCCUAGCCUGGGCUGAGACCCCUUGUCUCUGCCAAAGAGAUCUUUUUCUGCUUGGAUUCACACAACCAGCGAGGAAACUGAUGCUGAGACUGGAAGAGCACAAGCUUUAUUCAAUGGCCAAAGAAUAGAGAAGCAAGAAACUAGUUUGCAAAUCAACACCCCCAAUUCUGGUGGAGACACCGCAUAUAUAAGAAGGUCAAGGUAAAAGGGAGGGAGUUGGAAAGAGGUUAGAACGACUUAUCUAAAAACAGGUUUGGACCCAGUGCUGCUGUAACUCCUUUUCAGUCCUUGUACAGGCUUUCCCUGUUGUUGUCAUGGCAACUGGCACCUGUGGGUGUGUCAUUUAACAUAUUCUAAUGUAUUACAAUAAGCACAUAAUAGGCUCGAGGUCCACCAGAAAUUAAAUCUUCCACCAUGUUGGACCAAGUUGGUUCUAACCAGCAGCAUAUGGAAGUUCUUAGGCUAGGGGCUGAAUCAGAGCUACAGCUGCCAGCCUACACCACAGCCACAGCAACACAGGGUUCGAGCUGCAUCUGUGACUUACACUACAGCUCAUGGCAACGCCGGAUCCUUAACCCACCGAUCGAGGUCAGAGAUCCAACACUCAUCCUCACAGAUUCUAGUCGGAUUCAUUUCUGUUGAGCCACCACAGGAACUCCCCGGUUCUAACCAUUCUUGUUUAUCUCUUUGUGGCUUCAUCCUGACACUUAGAUCAGAGCAAUUUUAUUUCCAGUCAAGAAAGUGGCACGGGUGUGAUUCUGGGGCAACAGCCUUGAUAAUCAAAGCCAUCUUCCUAAAUGCACAAAUCACAUCACUUCAUUUCCCAGUUUAAACCUCCAAAGACUUCCACGGGGCUUAGCAUAAAAUCCAAAGGUCAUUUUCCUGCCAAGGUCAGAGGCUAAUCCCUACCUCCCCCUCUGAAACCUAACUCCUACCACUUUUCCAGCUGGGGCUAUGCUUCUGCAAAUCCUAGCACAUGCCUGCCUCAGGGUCUUUGCAUGUUCUCUUCUCUCUGCCUGGAAAGCUACUCUGCCAACAUGGCUGCAGUUCACGCCCUCGCUUCAUUCGGUCCCCACUUAAAUGCUACCUUCUUAGACAGUUACCACCAAAAGGCUGCCCUUCUUCUGAUGACCAAUUCAUACAAGGUUGCCUGGGACUGUCCCAGUUUUAAAACAAAAUCUCCCAUGCUGGGAACCCAUUUCGGUCGCCAGCAAAAUGGACCAGCUGUUCAGCCUACAGUCCCCAUCACUCCCUCCCACAGGACGCUGCUUUUCCUUCUUACCAUCUCACAUGUUCAUAUCUUUGCUUUUUCGUUUUCUUUCUCCUUCACUAGACCCCAAUGAGGACAAGGAGUUUGGGGCAUUUUAUUGAUGGCUAUAUUCCUGGCCCCUGGAAUGGUGCCUGGCACACAACUGGCAUUUAAGAUUAUUUGAGAAAAAUAUCAAAAGAAGGACCCUUGUGAUUUUUUGGGGCAUGGGGAGCAGGGAAGUUCCUGGGCUAGGGGUUGAAUCUCUGCCACAACCACAGCCAGGCCAGACCUGAGCCUCGGCUGCAACCUACGCCACAGCUUGUGGCAACACUGGAUCCUUAACCCACUGGAGCAAGGCCAGGGAUCAAACCCACAUCCUCAUGGAUCCUGGUCAGGUUCUUAACCCACUGAGCCACAAUGGGAAUGCUGCUCAUGGUUUAUUUAAUCUCUUGCUUAGAGUUUAGUUGCCUCCCCUGUUUGGCUGCAAUGAACAAAGCUUUCUCCAUAUUUAGAUUAAUAUCCUUGGGUUAGGUUACUGGAAGGGGAUUUAUUGAGCCAAUGAGAAUGUCCCUUUUAAGGUUUUGAUACCCAGUGCCAAAUUGUUUUCCAAAAGGGAUCAGACCCCCAAUUCUCAUUGCAGCCAUGGUUCCCUUAUCUACCUCACUCCACUCUGGCCAAAGCCAGCAUUAUCAUUGUUAAAAUCCUUCCUGGGUGGAAAUGUAGCAGUGUGUUGUUUUAAUUUGCAUUUCUUUGAUUACUAGGUAGGCUGAUCAUUUCCCUGUGUGCUUAGCUAAUUGCAUUUCAUCUUUUUGAAUUGUCUGUUCACGCCCCCUUUGCUUGUUUUUCUACCCGGUUUCAGGACUUGGAUUGUUGAUUUGUUGGAGUUCUUCAAAAAGGAAAGAUAUUAGCCCUUUCCCCCUCAUAUAUUAAAGCCUUGAUUCUUUGCAUUUUCUGACCCCUGCAUUCAGUUUGUCCCUUUCUUGUUUCCUUAUUCCCUUUUUUCACAUGUUCACAUCCCUUUUUGCAUGUCUUUUUACUUGGUUUUACUUUUUUUCCCCUAGUAAUUUUUUUUUUUUUUUUUUUUUUUUUGCUUUUUUUAGGGCUAUGCCCAUGACACAUGGAAGUUCCCAGGCUAGGGGUCAGAUCAGAGCUACAGCUGCUGGCCUACACCACAGCCACAGCAACGCAGGAUCCGAGCUGUGUCUGCAACCUACACCACAGCCUACGGCAAUGCCAGAUCCUUAACCCCCUGAGUGAGGCCAGGGAUCGAACCCGAAUCGUUAUGGAUACUAGUCAGGUUCUUAACCCCCUGAGUCACAACAGGAACUCCCAAUAGUCCAUUAUUGAAUAUAUGCUUUUUUCUUUUCGGCCACACCCACAGUAUGUGAAGUUCCCAGCCAGGGAUUGAACGCUGGACCCUUAACACACUGAGCUACCAGGGAAGACACAUUUUUUAAAAAUCGAAGCAAGGCCAUCCAAGAUCUGUCUUCACACCCCUGUAUCACCGCUCUGACCUUAGUUCCUACUCU